CCUACGGGAGGCAGCAGUGGGCAAUAUUCGGCAAUGGGCGCAAGCCUGACCCAGCAACGCCGCGUGAAGGAAGAAGGCUCUCGGGUUGUAAACUUCUUUUAUCAGGGACGAAGCAAGUGACGGUACCUGAUGAAUAAGCCACGGCUAACUACGUGCCAGCAGCCGCGGUAAUACGUAGGUGGCAAGCGUUAUCCGGAUUUACUGGGGGUAAAGGGCGUGUAGGCGGGAAAGCAAGUCAGAUGUGAAAACCAUGGGCUCAACCUGUGGCCUGCAUUUGAAACUGUUAUUCUUGAGUACUGGAGAGGCAGACGGAAUUCCUAGUGUAGCGGUGAAAUGCGUAGAUAUUAGGAGGAACACCAGUGGCGAAGGCGGUCUGCUGGACAGCAACUGACGCUGAGGCGCGAAAGCGUGGGGAGCAAACAGGAUUAGAUACCCCUGUAGUC
rnacentral:rRNA from 1 species